rnacentral:rRNA from 1 species
GACGAACGCUGGCGGCGUGCUUAACACAUGCAAGUCGAACGGAAAGGCCCCUUUGGGGGUCCUCGAGUGGCGACCGGGUGAGUAACACGUGAGUAACUUGCCCUUACCUUCGGGAUAACUUCAGCAACCUGGGGCCAAUACCGAUAAGGAAUCAUUUCUGCAUGGGGGGGGUUGGAAAGUUCCGGCGGUUUUGGGUGGCUUCGCGGGUUAUCAGCUUGUUGGUGGGGUUGUGGGUUACCAAGGCUUUGACGGGAAGCCGGCCUGGGAGGGCGACCGGCCACAUUGGGACUGAGGUAAGGCCCAGGCUGCUACGGGUGGCAGCAGUGGGGAAUAUUGAAGAAUGGGCGGAAGCCGGAUGCAGCAAGGCUGCGUGCGGGAUGACGGCCUUCGGGUUGUAAACCGCUUUCAGCAGGGGCGAAGCUUGUGGUGACGGUACCUGCAGAAGAAGCACCGGCUAACUACGUG